UAAAAGUUGAAAAAUGACUUUAAAACUUUCUUAUUAUUCUGGCGAUUUACAAGCCCUCGUCGUCAUUGCCGCCGCCGGAGUGAGUUUCUUUUCCCUUCUAGUUUUAUUUUGUAUUUAAUAAAACCUAUCGUCUUUGUUUCUGGGUUUGUGGAGCCGCCGAGGUGUGGGUUGUCAAUGGAGUCUCUCAUCUUCGUAUCUUGUUCCACAUCCAGGCCAUGCCACUGUCCAAUUGGUUGAGCAAGCAUAACACUCUAAAAAAAUUAAUGAAGAGUUCUGAAUCGAACAUAAGUGGCGACCAUGUUCGGCUUUUAUGUAUCUAUGAAAGGGGAUUAUUUUGCUCAUAUUAUAAGAGCAAAUUAAAGAGAAGAAUCACUCCAAAUAUGCAUGUAAUCGGUGGUGGACCUUCCCAGAGUUGAUGGUUUUUGGAGAAGAUUUUAAGAGCUUCAUUUUAGAACCGGAAGAAUUUGAUGCAUCUCUUGGAUGGAUCUGAGAUCGGCAGAAGAAAACUAACAGAAGGAGAGAAGUUCUCCAUUGAUCAAAGGAUGAAUCAAUCAAUCUAGGAACAAAUCUCUAGUUUGGUUUGUUGGUUUUUUUUGUUCUUUUGUAAUAUUUAUAUUUUUCUGAUGAUAGAUUCGAUUAAAAUGCCAAUUUUAAUGUUUAGGUUUGAACUGGUUUUGGGAGAUUUUCGAAUCAUU